rnacentral:lncRNA from 1 species
UUCCGAUAACGCUGACGGAAAGAAUCGUGUAACCUCGCGUAACCUCGUUGUCUUCGCGAAAGGUCGAGAAAUACGUAGUAGCCGCUCCCCAAGCAUGACGGGUGCAGAGAAAAUCAAACGUUGCAGAGGAGGAUCUUUAUAAGAGCAACCAGCCGGCCAGUGCAUGGACGGUGACGUCGGGAAAGACGCAUCUCGCCGAAGCAACUCAGGCUGCUUCUGUAGAAGGGAUCACAGAGUGGCUGAAAGAAUGCUGGACGGCCCCGUGGCUCUUGGUUCCAACAACGCGGAGGCGGACAACCGGGCCAAGUUCCACUUCCCAGCGAAGUUAAUGGACCUGGUGGCCAGCUGCCUGGUGUUUUGAUGUCCGCCUUGUGGAUCUGGUGGCCAGGUGAUCCAGCGAACUCCUACGUCGAUGCCCACCCGGCUGACCUGGCGUCCAGCUGUUCUAGCACUCUGGUGCUUGGCUGCGCACCCUGCAGACCUGGCGGCCAUCUUUUCUUGUGGCGUCUACGGCUGCUCAUGAGAUAGCGCACCAUUGCCCACCAUUGACGGUGCAUGUGGUUGCGUGCAAACGGGACAUCCGUGUGGCUUUUGGCUCAAACAUCGCGGAGACGGACAACCGGGCCAAGUUCCGCUUCCAGCAGACGAGGUGAGCACAAUCCUUGCGACUGUUUUGAAUUAUUUACAC